GAACGCUGGCGGCGUGCUUAACACAUGCAAGUCGAACGGAAAGGCCCUGCUUUUGUGGGGUGCUCGAGUGGCGAACGGGUGAGUAACACGUGAGUAACCUGCCCUUGACUUUGGGAUAACUUCAGGAAACUGGGGCUAAUACCGGAUAGGAGCUCCUGCUGCAUGGUGGGGGUUGGAAAGUUUCGGCGGUUGGGGAUGGACUCGCGGCUUAUCAGCUUGUUGGUGGGGUAGUGGCUUACCAAGGCUUUGACGGGUAGCCGGCCUGAGAGGGUGACCGGCCACAUUGGGACUGAGAUACGGCCCAGACUCCUACGGGAGGCAGCAGUGGGGAAUAUUGCACAAUGGGCGGAGGCCUGAUGCAGCAACGCCGCGUGCGGGAUGACGGCCUUCGGGUUGUAAACCGCUUUCGCCUGUGACGAAGCGUGAGUGACGGUAAUGGGUAAAGAAGCACCGGCUAACUACGUG
rnacentral:rRNA from 1 species